rfam:Clostridium sp. CAG:138 genomic scaffold, scf74
UGAGUAAGACAAGUGACCGCGCAGGCAUUUGCCCGCGAGGAAAGUCCGAGCUCCGCAGGACAGGGUGCCGGGUAACACCCGGUGAAGGCGACUUCAAGGAAAGUGCAACAGAAAUAAACCGCCGUAUUGCCGCACGGUAAUGCGGUAAGGAUGGAAAGGCGGGGUAAGAGCCCACCGAUACCUCGGUAACGCGGUAUGCCAUGUAAACCCCACUCGGAGCAAGAUUGAAAUGGGAGCAUUUAAUGGCUGUCCGUCACGCUCCCCGUAAUCGCUUGAGUGUGCAGGUAACUGCACAUCCAGAUAGAUGGUCACACAAACAGAACUCGGCUUACGGCUUGCUCAAUUC